GCUGCUGCGGCUUCCGUCGAAAAGCAGAAGCGGCCUCACCCCUCCUUUUAAAAGCCAGAAGCCAGGAUAUCACUGUAGCGCUGGUGACUGUAGAUUAAUGAAGUUUCGAAAAUCACCGGUUGGGGGGGGGGGGGGCUUUUUAGCUCCCCCGCUUAUAAGCAGAAGAUGGAGAAGCGUUUGGUAACCCAGCUUCUUCUAAAAGCUGCUGCGGCUUCCGUCGAAAAGCAGAAGCGGCCUCACCCCUCCUUUUAAAAGCCAGAAGCCAGGAUAUCACUGUAGCGCUGGUGACCGUAGAUUAAUGAAGUUUCGAAAAUACCGGUCUCUAUCCUCCCUUGGUUGAAGCAAUUACUCGAUUGCCAUGAAACCCUUCCUUCUAUCCUAGUCGCUGCAUCAAUCUUUCUCCCUCUCAUCACAGACGCGGCAUCAAACACACCCUCCCUCUGACGCCGCCUCAGCCUCUCAUCACGAUUUCGGGUUGGAAGUCGAAGGCUCAAUCAAGGAUGCUUGGCAAUUUGAUUCAGAUAUUGUACUGAAGCUGAUGUCUCACAAGCUUCAGGAGAAAACAAUGAGUUUCACCCCAGAAAGGUCUUAUGAUUAUUGAAUAAUGUCUUAGACAUUCUCUAAUGUACAUCAAUAUGUAAUUUUGUGAAUUUCAUGUAUUGCUUUGGUGAAGAUGUAUGAACUUGACGUUAAAUAGUAAUUUUUCUCUUUUGUUAGCGUUUUUCA